rnacentral:rRNA from 1 species
UACGUAGGGGGCAAGCGUUGUCCGGAAUCAUUGGGCGUAAAGAGCGUGUAGGCGGCUCGAUAAGUCCGCUGUGAAAGUCCAGGGCUCAACCCUGGAAGGCCGGUGGAAACUGUCGGGCUAGAGUCCGGAAGAGGCGAGUGGAAUUCCCGGUGUAGCGGUGAAAUGCGCAGAUAUCGGGAAGAACACCCAUGGCGAAGGCAGCUCUCUGGGACGGUACUGACGCUGAGACGCGAAAGCGUGGGGAGCAAACAGG